rnacentral:rRNA from 2 species
CUUGACAACAUAUAAGAGGUCCAGCCUGCCCAGUGACCUAGUUCAACGGCCGCGGUAUCCUAACCGUGCGAAGGUAGCGUAAUCACUUGUUCUUUAAAUGAGGACUAGUAUGAAUGGCACCACGAGGGUUAAACUGUCUCCUUUUUUUAAUCAGUGAAACUAAUCUCCCCGUGAAGAAGCGGGGAUUCUUUUAUAAGACGAGAAGACCCUAUGGAGCUUUAAACAAGUUAACACCUGCUACUAAUCUUCACUUUCCUGAAUCACCACAUUAAAUAUAGCACCUCUGAUUAACAGUUUUCGAUUGGGGUGAUCAUGGAGCAAAAAUUAACCUCCACGACGAAAAGGAACACCUCCUUGAGCCAAAAGCUACAACUUUAAGCACUAAAAAACUAACGCACUUUGACCCAAUUCUUUGAGCAACGAAC